UACGUAGGGGGCAAGCGUUGUCCGGAAUCAUUGGGCGUAAAGCGCGCGUAGGCGGCCCUGUAAGUCCGUUGUUGAAAGUCAAAGGCUCAACCUUUGAAAGCCGAUGGAUACUGCAGGGCUAGAGUCCGGAAGAGGCGAGUGGAAUUCCUGGUGUAGCGGUGGAAUGCGCAGAUAUCAGGAGGAACACCGGUGGCGAAGGCGGUGGUCUGGGCCGGCACUGACGCUGAGGUGACGAAAGCGUGGGGAGCAAACAGG
rnacentral:rRNA from 1 species